rnacentral:tRNA from 1 species
AAAUUUAAUUGUGCAAUUCAAUUUAGUUUGAUGUUUAUAAUCUUACUUAUAUUAUUUUUAUGUUAUAUGAGAAGUA